rnacentral:rRNA from 1 species
AAAGCAUUAAGAGGAUGCCUGUACAUCAAAAAUAUAAACGGACGUUUUUUGACGAAAUGUAAGCUCUGUCUAAUAGAAGCAAAGGAGUUACACUUCCGUAACGGGAAACCGGUCAAUGAAAAUUGAACAUUUUAUUUUUGCUUAUACUAAAACUGUGUAAACAUAUAAUAAAAUGAAACAAAAUUAGCGAAUUGAAUCAUCUAAGUAGCUAAUAAAAAAAUCAACCGAGAAUACUGUAAGUAGUGGCGAACGAACAUGGUAAAGGCUU